rnacentral:rRNA from 1 species
GAUCCUGGCUCAGGAUGAACGCUGGCGGCGUGCCUAACACAUGCAAGUCGAACGGAGCUGCUUUGAUGAAGUUUUCGGAUGGAUUUAAAACAGCUUAGUGGCGGACGGGUGAGUAACGCGUGGGUAACCUGCCUCACACUGGGGGAUAACAGUUAGAAAUAGCUGCUAAUACCGCAUAAGCGCACAGUUCCGCAUGGAACAGUGUGAAAAACUACCGGUGGUGUGAGAUGGACCCGCGU